rnacentral:lncRNA from 1 species
CUACAUCAAGCUAAGUAUGUGGAGGAUAUUUUUGAGAAGUUCGCGCUUCACGAUGCUAAAUCUGCUUCAACACCGAUGGCUGAAUGAUCUCUCUUGACUCCAGAUCCUAAAGGCGAGCUCGUAGAUCAAACUCUCUAUCGAUUGAUGAUCGGAUCGCUGAUGUAUCUUACUACAAGUCGACCUGACAUUAUGUUUGCAGUCUGUCAAUGCGCACGUUAUCAGGCUAAUCCUAAACUUUCUCAUCUUAUUGCUGUUAAAAGAAUUUUUCGGUAUAUCAAAGGAAGCCCUAAAUUGGGUCUUUGGUAUCCGAAGAAUUCUGAAUUUGAUCUUUAUGCUUUUACUGACAAUAAUUAUGGAGGCUAUGAGCUUGACAGGAAAUCAACUUCAGGAGAAUGUCAAUACCUAGGUGAU